UCUUAUGGAUGAGCAAAGAAAGUGGUUUCUUGAGAGGGAUUCUACUCCUGGUUGAAGAUGCUGUGAA
rnacentral:pre_miRNA from 1 species